rnacentral:rRNA from 1 species
GCCGGCGACACCCGGUAUUCCCAGCCGGUCACCCAUGCAAGUACUGACCGGGCCCAACGUUGCUUAACUGCGGUGAUCGGACGAGAACCGGUGCUUUCAACGUGGUAUGGUCGCCGG